UACAGAGGGUGCGAGCGUUAAUCGGAAUUACUGGGCGUAAAGCGUGCGUAGACGGUAGCGUAAGUCAGAUGUGAAAGCCCCGGGCUCAACCUGGGAAUUGCAUUUGAGACUGCUCUGCUCGGGUGCGGAAGAGGGAAGCGGAAUUCCGGUGUAGCGGUGAAAUGCGUAGAUAUCGGAAGGAACACCAGUGGCGAAGGCGGCGACCUGGACGGA
rnacentral:rRNA from 1 species